rnacentral:lncRNA from 1 species
AGUAAUGAAAAAAAAAAGAAGUCUUUCUGGCAUAAGGAUGAUUUUCAUCUGGUUAUUUUGAAACAUUUUUGUAAAAUAAGUUUACAUCUAUAAAGAACAUUUUUAUUUGUAAGGAGGGGUAUGUCUCUGUGCACUGGAAGAGAGGGAGGACUAAAUCACUGGGAAGUCUUAUGAUAAAGAAGCCAUUGGCUUAAAUCUGCAAAGCAAGCCAUCCCUUGGUUUAAGGUGUUUUUCCUGGCCAUCCUGUCUUGACUAGAACUUUACCUACACCUUCCUUUUUAGUUUAGGCAAUUAUAGUAUCUAAACCUGAAGUCUCAGCUCUGUGUCUUUGAGAUAUAAAUGUUCUACCAUGUCUUCUCUGGAACCUGAUAACUAUCUAUCUCUUUAAAAUGCAAGUCUAGGGAGAUGACUCAUCAGAAAAAGAAGAAAAAAGAGGUAUUUGGAAAUUGUGCAAAUUAAAGCAGCCCCUGAUGCCAAAGUCUACACAUUCCUGAGUGAGUCAGUUCUGGCCAGUUCUAGCUGGAUCAAGAGAGCUCUGCUGGGCAGGCCUGAAGAGCAGCUGGAUGGCAGACACCUGAGGAGCCAGGUGCCUGAAACUUCCUCCACCUUCUUGAGGAGCACCAAAGCCCAGGUGCUGGCUGGACAACCCCUUCUGGCUGCCUAAGCAGGUGGCAGAAGAAGGAAACAAGGUCAGAGGCAGAGUAUUGAACCCUGCCUCCCAGGAUGGAGCUUGACUUGCCCAAAUUGCUAUGUACAUGUUAAAGAGAGGCUGGAACUGAAGUUGGUCAUUUCUCACUGGAUCAGUCAACAAGAUUUGAGUACUUUCUGUGUGCUCUGCAUCAUUCUGAGUACUCUGGGGGACAGAAUAAGGCAUGGCUCCUGCCUUCAAGGAGUAUGGAAUUUAAUAGAAGAUGACAACAUACAUGAUCAUAAAUCUAUCUACAUGAGAGUGCCUAAUUGUGAGAUUCCUAAUAAACGGCAAGAUAUGUUCUGAAAAUGUGAAACAUAAAUGAGGUUGAAGAAAUUGUGAAAAGUUUAGCAGAGGAGGAAUAAUUCAUCAGGUUCUUUAAAUACAAGUAAAGGGGAAAGGAAGGACCAUUUUUAAGUUUAGAUAUUCCAAGGGUUAGUGGUGAGGUUGAUUAUGGUAUGUCUUCUCGUUGAUGAGGGAGGAGACUGGCGAAUAGUGGAAAAUAAAGUUAAAUAGCUAGGGUGGGGCCAAAUUAUGGGUUUUAAUAAAAGCCAGGCAUUGAAAUUUAGAUUGGGGUGGUAGAAAAAGGAAGGCUUUAAAAGUUUUUGAGCCAAUGAAUGACAUCAUACAAGUUCUAUAUAAACAGCAGUGAUUUCAGGAUGGGAGAGAAUGGCAUCAGGAAGACCCACUUGAAUGCUGGUAAGUAAUGUUACUAACAGUGCCAUUAGUAACAUUAAUGUUACUAGGGCCUGGACUGAUAUGCUGAUGGAAGUGAGAAUGAAGAAUAAGAUGGGAUGAAAGAGAUUUUGACAAGAGUUUUUUAAUGAACCUGAAACGGGAAAGGGCGAGAGUAACUAACCUGCUUGCCAUGGACAGCAACGGGGUUGCUAGAAGAUUAGCUGUGCGGAAAAAGUUAUGCAUUUACCUUUGGGCAUAAUGAAAUGCAAUUGACUCUCCAUAUUCAUGGGUUCUGCAUCCACUGAUUCAAACAACUGUGGAACAAAAUUGUCAGAAAAAAUAAUACAAUGAUAAAAAAUGAUACAAAUAAAAAACAACAUGGUAUACCAACUAUUUACAUAGCAUUUACAUCGUAUUAAGUGUUAUUAAGUAAUCUAGAGAUGAUUUAAAGUAUAUAGGAGGAUGUGUGUAGGUUACAUGCAAAUACUACACUAUUUUAUACCAGUAACUUGAGCAUCUAUGGAUUUUGGUAUACAAGGGGGAUCCUGGAACCAAUUCCCCAUGCAUAUCAAAGGAUGACUGUAUGAGUUAUCUGUAAAAUGGUUUGGUUGAAAUGUUUAGAAAACAGCUAGAAAUACAAGACUGGCUGUUGGAUGAAAAAAACAUAGGACUAGGAAAUUCAGGUAUGCUAGUCUAUUUGAGUAUUGCUUAAAGCCAUGGGAAAAGAGCUUCUGUGAGUUCCAAGGCAGAUACAAGGACUGGCAUUCAUGCACAGCUUCUAACAGAUAAAUCUGAAGAGUUCUUAGUAUGCAUGUUGACUGAAAUUACUUUAGAAGUAAUUUUUCUCCUGGUGAUAAAAGGCAUGUAAGGCUAUUUUAGGAAAUUGAAAAAUGCAAAAAGGUAUAAAGAAAAAGAAAAGAUAAUCAUUAAUAGUACGUUAGCAAACAAGAUUUGACUAAAGAUAUGACUUUCCUCCCGCUUGUUUUCUUAUGCAUAUAAAGGGAUAGGAAAUAUGUAUGUAUGUAUGUGUGUGUAUAGGAUCAUGCACUAUAUAUAGCUUGCUUCUUUUUCCAUCAUGAUAAUUUUCCCAUGUCAUGAAUUACGGCUUGCAAGUGCUUAUUCUUAAAGGGCUGCAUUAUUUUUCAUUAUUUGGAUUUAUUGUUAUUUAAUUGGAGCUCUAUUAUUGAACAUUUAGAUUGCUUCCAAAAUUUUUUGCUCUUGUUAAUAUAUUGUAAUAAACUUCUGUGAAACACAUACUCUUCACCUGCUACUUACAUAUGACUUCUGUAAGCAGAGACCUCUGUAUCCCCAGGACCUAGAAGGUUACCUGGACAUAGUAGUUGCUUAAUUAAAAAAAAUUAUUGAUUGAAUGAAAGAAGACUAUUAAAUGUUCAGUUCUUCUUUUUUUAUUCCGAUUCCCUGUGUAUCCAGGGGCCUCUUAUUUGGCUGCAUGUAUGAGUUUGGCUGUAGUGAAAGUAUAUGACCAUAAACAGGCAUUCCUAUUUCUGUCACAGUUAUAUUUGUCAUUCUGUACUAAUACAUCUAUAUCCUGAUUUCUAUUGAAGCAUGGUUAUUUUUGUUUGCUUCUAAGCAAUGUAGCUACCCUAUUGAUGAUGAUAAAAAUAAAUUUCUGAGCCUAUAAGACUGAGGAUUGGGCCUAGGUUUUGGUAAAUUGGCAAGAUAAUGGAUGCUACCCUGUCAAGAGCCCUCUGAAGAGAAAAGUCUGCCAACCUUCACCAGGUAGAAACUCCUGGCAGUGCCACAUUUUCCAGUUUGAUGCCCUGUGAUACCCUGAAAAGACAGAUGUUUUACUCUUUUCAAAUAAUAUUUUAACAUGUUUUAAGACGCAAAGGCAUUGUGUCGGACUUUUUUCUUAAGAAUAUAUUUCAUUACCACUCAGAAGUUAGCUUCCAAAAGAAAUAAGUGUGUGCAAAUGUUUAUGAUAGUGG